CACAGAGAUCACCACAUAUAUUAAAGAAAAGUAUAUCGCCGAUCAAAACUUCAACACCUAUAUAUAUUAGACGUAAUCUGUUCACCCAAAAUCACGAAAUUUUCGAAACAAAAAGGGCAGAUAUACAGAAUUUAUUAUUCACGAACAUCGAUGUAAGCCAAGAUAAUCUCGAGGAAGACCAUAAGGAAGAGCAUGUAUUAGACAACGAAGAAGACAUAGAAGAAGUCACAGAAGAAGACCACGUAGUAGACCACGAGAAAGACCACAUGGAAGACAUUGAGGAAGAACAUAAAGUUUUUCAAAGUGCUUUAGAUAAACUCUCAGACGAAGGGAAAAGGGAAAGAUUUUUGAUUUUUUUUCAUUAGUGGACGUUUUCCUUUAAAC
rnacentral:lncRNA from 1 species